rnacentral:lncRNA from 1 species
CCUUAAUCAUGAACAGAACAGCGGCGGCAAGAACACUUUGCACAAUUUUCGUGCUCAUGCCUUUAUAGAACCCAUGGAACCCUUCAUAGCGAAUCAUCUUAAGGAUAGCGUCCAAUGUACCUAGAUAAAGGGAAAAGAAUGAAACAAUGAUCAUCAAGAUGAAUCUGUGAGACUUUUAAAAUUAAUGGAAAUGCGGUGUUCUCAAGCAUAGAUGGUAAGAGAACUAAGGGCACAAUAUUUGUCACUAUCCACCACAUGUUACAAUUUUGACCUUGCACAGUUUAUCAAGUAAGUCCAUCACGUAAAAGGCUUUGCCAAUAGAUAAGGCAGUUGGAGCAUGUUAGUUCCAUAAUUUAUGAGGUAAUUAAAAUUCACAAAAAUAGUUCAAACCUUCAUAGUGAUGUCUUUUGUCUCCAGUUGUAAUUUGUUUUGCUUGAAGCCUCGACUGAAAAUACAAAGGAAUCAGUAAGGAAAAAAGAGCAGUUCCCUACGAACAAAAGUUGGUUAUCCACUUGACGAGCAAAAUUUUUUUGGAACAAAUGAAAGGACAUUUGGCUUUUUGCCGACCAAAUAUUUGAUUCUAUCAUUUACUUUUUUGUCUUCAUAUUUGUUUUUCUCCUCUCUCCAUGUGACAAUUGAAUUCUAAGAAAAGGGUCGAUAUAAAAUUACUUGUAGAAGCUCUCUGCUUCUAGCUUUCUGAUAACUUCCAUUGCCUGACACAACAAUUGAUGAAUCCGCAUUAAACUUUUAGUUACUGUGUCUAAGUCACGGGGUAAUUAUUAGUUUUGGUGAGUGAAGGAAGGAAGCAUUUUGUGAGUUCACUCGCAAACCCUCAGAGUAAAUCAGUUUUCAAGUCUGCGUAGCAUUAGCAUCCCAUAAUAACAUUUCAUUUACCUUUACCACUAGAAGAGGAUAUGUUACAACAGUAGCUCCAAGCUUUGCUAAAGCUCCAAGAAGAAAUAUCUGGCAAAAAACCAGGCAAUUUAUUCAGCUAUUAAAUCAAGCUACUAAAAAAGGAAGGAUGCAAAACAAUUAUGUGAUUGUUGAAUUAACUGCUUGGGAAUAUGAAACAAAUAAGAAGUAGAGAGAUCGAGAACCAGGGAAAACAAAAGGAAAGCUAACCUCCAAAGCACUAACUCCGGUGUCACCCUGCUUAACCAAGGCACACUUUGUCUUCAACUUCUUCAACAUAGUUUCAUACAGCAUGAAUUGUAUUGAAGGGUUGCUGACCUGCAAGUAGCAGAGCAAUCAGUAAU